CAAGACAUCUUUCUUCCUUGACCUCAUGCUCCUACCGUCAAAGGAUAAUGCAGCACCUGCAGAGUCGCUGUCGACUACCACCUACUGAAGGAGGUGGCGUAACUGGAGCAAAGUAGGCGUGAACUUUCACAUCAGGAUUUGCUCUGCAUCUGAGGAGAUCGCAAAGCUCCGCCAACAACCUAGGACAGUUGAGAGGAACUGGCGGGGGGGCCGGUCUGCGCUCGUGAUCAAAGGCGCAAAAGCCGAGCACUGCAGGGGGCAUGCGCAGACUGGCCGAAUAUUGCUCUGAAAUCUUCCGACCAGCGGCACUGGGAUGGACCCAACACCUAGAGUGGAGCACCCACGGGGCCACUUGAAGAACCAUUCCUUUCCACUGCAUAUGAGACUUUCACCUUUUGCUGGUACUUUAGCUGGGUAGCAGGUAUCUGGAAAUACCUAUCUUGCUAGCAGAUAGUAUUGUUAGCCAAGGAACCCAGGCCCUGACAAAGUUGUUUUGGAUUUAUUAAGUUAGUAGUAAGUUGUUUUAUAAGCUAAAGUAGUGAUACGAAAUGAAUUUGUUUCAAAAUCAUGAUGUUCUGUUAAAGGCCUGCUCAUUAGAAAAUUGUUUAACAGCCCCUGUGCUGUUUCUUCUAAAAUUGCUUAGUAGAAAAAUGUAUAGUUAUAGUUUGUAUGAAUGAAGUACGUGUGUGCAGCUAAGAAGAGAUAGUAUGUUAGUAGCAGAUGAGCCUAAUUACAGAAGAACGAAGGAAACAGGUGCCAGUAUCGCCUUGCCUUGAUGAUCCAAGGAGUGCAAAUUGAUGACCCUGGAGUGUGAAAACAUCCCUCCAAACUAAGAAUAAAGUAUAAGACUCUCUCUGGUGGUGUAAAAGGCGCCAAAAGCAAAAAGAUCUCUAGAGCUGCUCCAUUGUGGGAGAGUCACCAGCAAGCAUGGCCAACACCUAUGCUAUUCCCACUACAACCCUCAGUAUAAGGGCAUCAGAGUCUGAAGAAGGGAGAGGUGAAGCCUAAGUGCUACUAUAGUGUAGCUACUCUUGGCUGGCAUACUGGACCUCAAGGCUGUUCUAAGUACGCCAGCACCGGGAAAGAAAAAGUCAGAAUAUAAGGGUGUUACAACUAGUUUUGUUUUGAGCCACCUUACCUCAGGUGUGCCCAUCAGAUAUUGGGUGUAGAUGACAAUUUAGCCCAUCAUCGAUUUAAGUUUACGAACACUGGAAAAUAUUGUAUACUAAUGGAAAAACACACUUAAAACAUCACCUACUUCAGAUAGGAUUUACAGUACUUUUUGUAAGGUAAAAGAAGAUACAGAACCAUAAAAUGUGGUGCCUCUCAGAAUAGAGCAUCAGCUUGUAGAAAGUAGCUGAAGAGCCUUUGUAUGUCUCUAUGAAAUAAUAUAGUCAGUAAGCAGCUAUGACAAAUUCUUUUUCCUCCUUUCACAUGAUAUAUAGGAGCUGGGUUUUUGCCCUCAUGCCGAACACCCUUAACUCUGAUGGAAAUUAAUGGUAGUUGAAGGUGCUCAGAAUUUCAUAGGAGAAACAAUCUCCCAGAAUCAGGCCAAUGAUGAAAACAAAAACUUUGA